CAGUCGCCGCGGUAAUACGUAGGUCCCGAGCGUUGUCCGGAUUUAUUGGGCGUAAAGCGAGCGCAGGCAGUUAGAUAAGUCUGAAGUUAAAGGCUGUGGCUUAACCAUAGUACGCUUUGGAAACUGUUUAACUUGAGUGCAAGAGGGGAGAGUGGAAUUCCAUGUGUAGCCGUGAAAUGCGUAGAUAUAUGGAGGAACACCGGUGGCGAAAGCGGCUCUCUGGCUUGUAACUGACGCUGAGGCUCGAAAGCGUGGGGAGCAAACAGGAUUAGAUACCCGGGUAGUCCCUGUCUCUUAUACA
rnacentral:rRNA from 1 species